CCCAGAUCCUUAAGAAUGAGGGUGCCAAAUCUCUGUUCAAGGGUGCUGGUGCUAACAUCCUCCGUGCCGUUGCUGGUGCUGGUGUGUUGGCAGGUUAUGACAAGCUUCAGGUCAUCGUUUUUGGAAAGAAAUAUGGUUCUGGUGGUGCCUAAGCCCGACUUAACUACUUGUUUUUCUAGAAUUAGAAUAUGGUGAUGAAAAUCCUUCAAAUUCGAAGAACCGUUUUGGGGCAGAUAUUUUACGUUUUUCCCUGUCCCUUUUGAAUAAUUCAAAGUUUAGAGCGGGUUAGAACUUUAAACCCUCAAUUAAUUAUUCCCUUGUUGAAGGGGUGGUUUUGUUAUGCAGGCCUUUAUCACAGCAGAGUUCACA
rnacentral:lncRNA from 1 species